GCCAGAAUCAUAAAGAACUCACUUUUCCUCCACAGGGUGGCUUAGGCUACUAAAUCCUGGUGCACUGUGAAACCCAUUCCUCAUGAACUACUUAUAGCCUGUUGCUCUGAUCGAAAUGACCCAACUGGACAAAAAGGGAUCUAAAAUUAAGGAUUUCUUCUUCUCAUUGUCACUUAAAGCACUGAAACAAUUCUAGCAAAAGAGAAACAAGAGCUGGGAGACAGUUUGCCCAUGACCAUAUGCAAAAGUCUCACGAGAGAAACAGACACCGCACAACUCAUAAGAUGCCAACCUCUGUUCUACAUUCAUCACUCCCAACUAAAUUCCACCAGUGCCAACACUCAGAAUAACAAGAGGCUUGGAAAUGAGACAGAUGCUUUGGAAGAACUACAAGCAGAGAAGCUAGAAAAAAAUGUUUCCUAAUGUCACUAGGGCGACCAGGGUGCACCCAGAGGUGAAACAUGAAGGGCCAUCUUGUCCACAGGAGGGAUAAUAAUAUUUAGAAAUUAGCCCCCACAAUUUCCAGAAUGCCAGUUAAUUUAAAAUGCCAGAUUGACGAAAGCAUUUCAAAGCAACACAUUUUUAAAUUCCAAAUUAACACGCCUUGCCAUACCUGAUGUUUCCUGAAAAAAAAAAAAAAAAAAAAACCCACAUGUUGUGGCUUUGUUAUAGAAGAAAAAAGAAAAGCCAUUCUUACUUACAAGAUAUAGGAUGUAAAAAAAAAAAUGGGGGUGAGGAGAACCCAUAGGCGUUAGUUUCCUAUGGCUACCAUUAGAAAUUAUCACAUCUGGUGAAUUAAAACAUGAAUUUAUUCUCUCACAGUUAAGAGCCUAAAUUCCGAAAUCAAAGUGUAGGCAGCAGGGUGAAGCUCCCUCCAAAAUCUCUAGGGAAGAAUCCUUCCUUCAAUCCUCCAGAUUCUGGUGGUUGCCAGCAGUGCUUGGCUUAUAGCCACAUCACUCCCAUCUCUGCCUCUGUGGUCACAUGGCCUUCUUCCAUCUGUGUGUGACUGGCCUUCUUAUGAGUAGGAUCCAGGGCCCAGCCUAAUCUGGCAUGACCUCAUCUUAACUUGAUUACAUUUGCAAAGACCCUUUUUACAAAUAAUGUAGUAUCCACAGAUACUCAGUUAUUAGAACUUUAUCUUUUGGGAAAACACAGUUCAAUACACAACAGGGGUGGGGGCAAACAUCUAACAUAGUACAGUUCUCUUCAAGGAGGCAGUAACAAGGGAGAAUGAAAUUUUAGUUAAUGUAGCAAGAAAUAUUUUCCCGAAGCAGACACUUGCGGCCGUCUAGUUUUCAAUCAAAAGAAAUUCAAUAUGGCUAAUGAAAUCCUUUUUGUUCUUUUCUAAUUUCCAAAUUAUGUUUGCAACAAAUAUCCCUGACCCUUAUUCCAUCCAUCCUGCGAGGAAUUAACAAUUUUCAUUCUCAAAUACACUGCCUGAAGUUUAGGGGGUAAGAAUCUACAAAUCUUCCUCAAUUUACAACAGGGUUACAACCUGAUAAACCCCUCAUAAACUGAAAAUAUAGUAAGACAAAAACACAUUUAAAAGAUCUAACCUACUGAAUAUCAUAGUUGAGCCUAGCCUACCUUAAACAUGCUCAGAACACUCAUGUAAUGUAUUCAAUACUGUACAGCAAGUGAAAACCAGAAUGGCUAUAUGAGUGCAGAACAUUUGUAAGUAUAUUGGUCAUUUACCUCCGUGAUCGAGUGGCCGAUUGGGAGAUGCAGCUCGCUGCCCAGCAUCACCAGAGAUUAUUUUAGGACAUACCACUAGCCCGGGAAAAGAUCAAAAUUCCAAGUACAGUUUCUACCGGAUCAUCAUAAAGUAGAAAUUUUUUAAGUUCAGCCAUCAUAAGUCAGGGACUACAUGUACUUUUACAACCAGAAAGGGGGAAAAAAGUUUCAUCUAAGUCAGAAGUGAAUGUGCUUCUACAGGAAUAUUAGUCUUGUCCUUCUGAGCCAUCAUUAUUACAAAGGUGUUUCAUGAUCUUUAACAUGUUUACAUACACACUCAAUUACACGUACGCGUAACACCACUUUUAGAAUGUACUCUUGCAUUCUUAUAGGGCUAAGAGUGAAGGAUAUCACCACAGCUCAUUCUUCUCUUCCACGCAGUGUCUAGUGUAUACCAAUCAAAUAAGCUUAGCAUAAUACGAACACACUAAAAUGUGAUUUCUAUCCUCUAGAUUUUCAAAUACAAAAAAAAAAAAAAAAAAAAAAAAAGAUUU